UACGUAGGGUGCGAGCGUUAAUCGGAAUUACUGGGCGUAAAGCGUGCGCAGGCGGUUUUGUAAGCCAGAUGUGAAAUCCCCGGGCUUAACCUGGGAAUGGCAUUUGGGACUGCAAGGCUGGAGUGUGGCAGAGGAGACUGGAAUUCCCGGUGUAGCAGUGAAAUGCGUAGAGAUGCGGAGGGACACCGAUGGCGAAGGCAGCCCCCUGGGCUAGCACUGACGCUCAGGCACGAAAGCGUGGGGAGCAAACAGG
rnacentral:rRNA from 1 species